GGGUCGCUAGCUCAGUUGGUAGAGCAGCUGACUCUUAAUCAGCGGGUCACAGGUUCGAAUCCUGUGCGGCCCACCA
rnacentral:tRNA from 1 species